AGAGUUUGAUCAUGGCUCAGAUUGAACGCUGGCGGCAGGCCUAACACAUGCAAGUCGAACGGUAACAGGAAACAGCUUGCUGUUUCGCUGACGAGUGGCGGACGGGUGAGUAAUGUCUGGGAAACUGCCUGAUGGAGGGGGAUAACUACUGGAAACGGUAGCUAAUACCGCAUAACGUCGCAAGACCAAAGAGGGGGACCUUCGGGCCUCUUGCCAUCGGAUGUGCCCAGAUGGGAUUAGCUAGUAGGUGGGGUAACGGCUCACCUAGGCGACGAUCCCUAGCUGGUCUGAGAGGAUGACCAGCCACACUGGAACUGAGACACGGUCCAGACUCCUACGGGAGGCAGCAGUGGGGAAUAUUGCACAAUGGGCGCAAGCCUGAUGCAGCCAUGCCGCGUGUAUGAAGAAGGCCUUCGGGUUGUAAAGUACUUUCAGCGAGGAGGAAGGUGUUGUGGUUAAUAACCGCAGCAAUUGACGUUACUCGCAGAAGAAGCACCGGCUAACUCCGUGCCAGCAGCCGCGGUAAUACGGAGGGUGCAAGCGUUAAUCGGAAUUACUGGGCGUAAAGCGCACGCAGGCGGUUUGUUAAGUCAGAUGUGAAAUCCCCGGGCUCAACCUGGGAACUGCAUCUGAUACUGGCAAGCUUGAGUCUCGUAGAGGGGGGUAGAAUUCCAGGUGUAGCGGUGAAAUGCGUAGAGAUCUGGAGGAAUACCGGUGGCGAAGGCGGCCCCCUGGACGAAGACUGACGCUCAGGUGCGAAAGCGUGGGGAGCAAACAGGAUUAGAUACCCUGGUAGUCCACGCCGUAAACGAUGUCGACUUGGAGGUUGUGCCCUUGAGGCGUGGCUUCCGGAGCUAACGCGUUAAGUCGACCGCCUGGGGAGUACGGCCGCAAGGUUAAAACUCAAAUGAAUUGACGGGGGCCCGCACAAGCGGUGGAGCAUGUGGUUUAAUUCGAUGCAACGCGAAGAACCUUACCUGGUCUUGACAUCCACGGAAGUUUUCAGAGAUGAGAAUGUGCCUUCGGGAACCGUGAGACAGGUGCUGCAUGGCUGUCGUCAGCUCGUGUUGUGAAAUGUUGGGUUAAGUCCCGCAACGAGCGCAACCCUUAUCCUUUGUUGCCAGCGGUCCGGCCGGGAACUCAAAGGAGACUGCCAGUGAUAAACUGGAGGAAGGUGGGGAUGACGUCAAGUCAUCAUGGCCCUUACGACCAGGGCUACACACGUGCUACAAUGGCGCAUACAAAGAGAAGCGACCUCGCGAGAGCAAGCGGACCUCAUAAAGUGCGUCGUAGUCCGGAUUGGAGUCUGCAACUCGACUCCAUGAAGUCGGAAUCGCUAGUAAUCGUGGAUCAGAAUGCCACGGUGAAUACGUUCCCGGGCCUUGUACACACCGCCCGUCACACCAUGGGAGUGGGUUGCAAAAGAAGUAGGUAGCUUAACCUUCGGGAGGGCGCUUACCACUUUGUGAUUCAUGACUGGGGUGAAGUCGUAACAAGGUAACCGUAGGGGAACCUGCGGUUG
rnacentral:rRNA from 1 species